rnacentral:rRNA from 1 species
AAAUGAAUAGACGGGACCCCGCACAAGCAGCGGAGCAUGUGGUUUAAUUCGACGCAACGCGAAGAACCUUACCAGGUCUUGACAUCGAUCUAAGCCUGUAGAGAUAUAGGGUCCCUUCGGGGGAGAGAAGACAGGUGGUGCAUGGUUGUCGUCAGCUCGUGUCGUGAGAUGUUGGGUUAAGUCCCGCAACGAGCGCAACCCUUAUUAUCAGUUACUAACGGAUAACGCCGAGGACUCUGAUGAGACUGCCGGGGACAACUCGGAGGAAGGUGGGGACGAGGUCAAAUCAUCAUGCCCCUUAUGACCUGGGCUACACACGUGCUACAAUGGCGUUAACAAAGAGCUGCGAGUACGCAAGUAUGAGCGAAUCUCAAAAAAGACGUCUCAGUUCGGAUUGUGGGCUGCAACCCGCCCACAUGAAGUUGGAGUUGCUAGUAAUCGCGAAUCAGAAUGUCGCGGUGAAUACGUUCCCGGGGUUUGUACACACCGCCCGU